rnacentral:rRNA from 1 species
AUUGAACGCUGGCGGCAGGCCUAACACAUGCAAGUCGAGCGGAUGUAGGGAGCUUGCUCCUGGAUUCAGCGGCGGACGGGUGAGUAAUGCCUAGGAAUCUGCCUGGUAGUGGGGGAUAACGUCCGGAAACGGGCGCUAAUACCGCAUACGUCCUGAGGGAGAAAGUGGGGGAUCUUCGGACCUCACGCUAUCAGAUGAGCCUAGGUCGGAUUAGCUAGUUGGUGGGGUAAAGGCCUACCAAGGCGACGAUCCGUAACUGGUCUGAGAGGAUGAUCAGUCACACUGGAACUGAGACACGGUCCAGACUCCUACGGGAGGCAGCAGUGGUGAAUAUUGGACAAUGGGCGAAAGCCUGAUCCAGCCAUGCCGCGUGUGUGAAGAAGGUCUUCGGAUUGUAAAGCACUUUAAGUUGGGAGGAAGGGCAGUAAGUUAAUACCUUGCUGUUUUGACGUUACCAACAGAAUAAGCACCGGCUAACUUCGUG